rnacentral:misc_RNA from 1 species
GAUGAAGAACGUAGCGAAAUGCGAUAAGUAAUGUGAAUUGCAGAAUUCAGCGAAUCAUCGAAUCUUUGAACGCACAUUGCGCCCCCUGGUAUUCCGGGGGGCAUGCCUGUUCGAGCGUCAUUUCACCACUCAAGCCUCGCUUGGUAUUGGGCAACGCGGUCCGCCGCGUGCCUCAAAUCGACCGGCUGGGUCUUCUGUCCCCUAAGCGUUGUGGAAACUAUUCGCUAAAGGGUGUUCGGGAGGCUACGCCGUAAAACAACCCCAUUUCUAAGGUUGACCUCGGAUCAGGUAGGGAUACCCGCUGAACUUAAGCAUAUCAAUAAGCGGAGGA